rnacentral:rRNA from 1 species
GAUGAACGCUGGCGGCGUGCCUAAUACAUGCAAGUAGAACGCUGAAGGAGGAGCUUGCUCUUCUGGAUGAGUUGCGAACGGGUGAGUAACGCGUAGGUAACCUGCCUGGUAGCGGGGGAUAACUAUUGGAAACGAUAGCUAAUACCGCAUGACAACAGUUAUUGCAUGAUAACUGUUUAAAAGGGGCAACUGCUCCACUACCAGAUGGACCUGCGUUGUAUUAGCUAGUUGGUGAGGUAACGGCUCACCAAGGCGACGAUACAUAGCCGACCUGAGAGGGUGAUCGGCCACACUGGGACUGAGACACGGCCCAAACUCCUACGGGAGGCAGCAGUAGGGAAUCUUCGGCAAUGGACGGAAGUCUGACCGAGCAACGCCGCGUGAGUGAAGAAGGUUUUCGGAUCGUAAAGCUCUGUUGUAAGGGAAGAACGAGUGUGAGAGUGGAAAGUUCACACUGUGACGGUAUCUUAGCAGAAAGGGACGGCUAACUACGUG